rnacentral:rRNA from 1 species
AACGGACUUGAAGGGCUAAGCGGGGAAAGAAGACCCUGUUGAGUUUUGACUCCAGUCUGGCUCUGUGCGGCGACAUCCGGGAUGUAGUAUAGGUGGCAGCGUCAGCAAAAUGAAAUACCACCACCUGGAACGUUGCUUCACUAAUCGAGUGGAGAGACCAGUGGUUUUGUCGGCGUCUUCGGGCGUCGGCCCUCCUUGGUUUGGGAUCAUCCGGUGGUACCCCCACUUUCACGAGAGCGUCGUCGCGGUUUCGGCCGAGGCGGCGCGCGCGCGCCGUCAAAAAGCGCGCAUCGUGAGGACCCAACCGUGGCGAGCACUGCACCAAGCGCCGGUCCCCCCGGGGACCGGGUCGCGAGUCUUGUCUCGAGACAUCUGCCAGAUGGGGAGUUUGGCUGGGGCGGCAUAUCUGUUACACGACAACGCA